AUGCCCGGCCGCACGUUGGAGGCCGUCCUUGAGUACAUCGAGGGCGGCAACACGCCGAGGCAGGAAUAUCCCGCUCCCCCACCAUCUCCCGCACACGCGGGAGCUCCUGGAUGCCGAGGCGCAUGGACCUGGCGUCCUCCUCCUCAUCCGGCCGCUCGUCUGGCUCAUCUUCCCUCCUCCCCGUCAGGCCGGAGCCCCAGGACGUGCCGGUCAGCCGGCACACCCGCUGUUGUGGCGUCCGCAUCACCGAGUCCUGCCCCACCUCCACCCGCCUCGAUGGGCCAAAGGUGGAGCCCAGCCUCCCCAUGUUGUAUGAGGCCAUCGCCCGGUCCGGCUUCUCCGACGAGGCCCCCCUAA
rnacentral:rRNA from 1 species